rnacentral:ncRNA from 1 species
AAAUAGAGGCGCGGCUUUCAAAAGUAGCGGGAUGGAGGUUGCCAAAACCGACGAAGUCUUGUAAAAGGGUGAGCUGCCGAAGGGGAAUAUCGGGCGAAUAUUUUCCUGGUUGCAACAGCAAACAGCUUUGCGACUGUCAUCACUUGUGAUGGAGUGCUAUUG